rnacentral:rRNA from 1 species
GGGAUCGGAGUCAGCUGUAUCCGAACUCAGGCUGCCCCCUGCCAGAUGGCGCCGGUCGCCCGCAGGCGAUUCACUUCGCUUGCGGUGUCGUUCCCGGGGCUUCUGCGGGGUGGUGUACCGCUCUGAGAUUAAAACGGUGCGGCGCAUUUCCUCCCUAGUAGAAACGUCGCGACCCGUUGGGUGGCGGUCUAAGGCCCGGGCAGGCAGCCCGUGCGUCCCGGGGCGGGUUAAACCGUCGCGGGCGCGCGGACGUCCGGUGACCCGGCCGGUCGCCCGACGGUAUGACCAGAGGAGUCGAUCCGCUAGAAUUCGGUUGCGUCCGGCCCUCCGCCGACGCGAGGGGGGUGGUCCGCCAGGCGUUUCGGACCCAUCCCUGUCUCGUCGUCGGUCGCGAGGUGUCCUCGGACUGGAUCAGCACUCCUGUCUGCGACGCCCACCUUCGGAUGGUCUCCCGC